CUUCAAUUGCCGCUGGCGCUCAACCUUCAAGUUUGAAGCCCCCACCGCCAUCGGCGUUCUUCCCCACUGUCCCCGUCGCGCACCACUUCCAAACCAUCGCCGUGUAUAUAUGCUCAAAACCCAAACUGCAAAUACAGCAAACGUAAACUCUAAUCUUCUAGCAUUUAGGCCUCGCCAAGUGGUGCUUCGUAAGCCUCCUUCAAGCAUGAAGCAAGACGACAAUAAGCGGAAGACGCUUCUCAUUCACUCCAUAGCUCAGUAUCUUGCACAGAGUGGCUUCCCCAAAACUCUUAAGAAGUUCCGAUCAGAAACCAAACUCCAGGAAGAUGAGUUGAAGGAUUCCUCAUUUGACUUGGAGGAGAUAUUCUUCAAGUUUUUGGACAAUUGCAUCGGCGAUGGGGAGAAAAAGAGGAUUGAUAAGAGUGCUGGUGAUAAACAUACCAAUUCUAAGAAUGCUGAAGAGACGAUGACACCUGAUACAUUGCCUGUAAAAUCUAAGGAGAAAAAGAGAAAUAAAAAAAUAUCUUGCUCUCUUGGUGAAGAAGAACAAGUCAGCACAAAAAAUUUGAAGGAGUCCACUGAUGAUAAUGUGCAUGAAUCUUCUGUAAAAAAAUGCAAGGACAAAAAGAAGAAAUGCACCUCUGAU
rnacentral:misc_RNA from 1 species